rfam:Prunus persica cultivar Lovell chromosome G2, whole genome shotgun sequence.
GGAAGAAGAGCCUGUCAGUUUAGCCUGGAUGACUGCCUGGCCAAACAGAAGCUUCCAAUCCAACAAAGUUACACCAAUGGAGAAUUGAUCUCUCUGGUAGAGCAGGCAAGUCAUCCUUGGCUACCAAACUAGGCUCUUGCUC